GGGUGCAAGGACGGGCUCUGCGCCGAGCCGAGGUCCCACCCUGGAUGGAUGCAACCCUGUGGGGUCCCCAGGCCACCAGGAGCCGGCCUGGCUGCUGAACCCCCAGUUGUGGCUUGUGGCCACCAAGCUGAGUCGAUGCCACAGUUGUGUAGGUGCCAGGAAGAGCAGCUGUGGUAGCCCAAAGGCCACCAGAGGUGACAUGCAUGUGCGGUGACCCCAAGCCCUGGCAUGUCUUGGACCCACCACGUGUGCACCGUGCCAAGAGCUACGUACGUCUUUGGUGGCUGUAGGGGUGCACCAGAGCCAUCCAGAAACCACAGCUCAACCUCCAGAGCCUGCCUGGGCCAGGCUUAUGGGAAAAAUGAUAAAAAAAAAAAAAAAAAAAAAAAAAAGGCAGAUGGGGAAACCCAUCAGCGGGGUAGCCCAGGGUGGGAGGCGCUCAGCAGCGGUCAGGAUGAAGCUGCUGACUUGCACCCGCUCCCCCUGUGGUCGGCUGCUGCCAGAGAGCCAGCGAGGCCGGAUGCUGGCAAGGAGCUGCAAAUGAAAUGAAAAACAUCAGGUUGGAGAAGCUCCAGCUCCUCGACAAGGCGACUACUCACACACCGCUGUGCCAGAUGAGCCCCGGCCAAGAGGCGAGGGCCAGCUCCCCGCAGGGACACUGCUCCACGCCAGCCCCAGCCGUGGCCAUGGGUGGGAAGGGGGGGCUGUGAAAACACCUCUGAGCCCAGGAUUUUAUGAUUUGCUUCCAAAAAGAUUGAGGCCCUGCAGGAGGAGGUCUGGUGAUGGGCUGCAGGGCACCACAAGGUGCAGGUGACUUGAAAAGUCUACCAAAAUGUUGGGAGUCUUGGCCAAUUCAAGGUCAACGGUGAGGUCUGCUCUGGACUGGAGACAGGAGGACAUUGUCCAAGGCCGAGAUGGGUUGGCCGGGUCUCACCUCAUUGAUUCUCAACUCUGUUGUCUAGCCCAAGAGCAUCCUCUAGCCCAUUCCACUGUGAUGAUGUUGAAAUCAGGGCAGACGAAACACCAUGAAGGUCCUUGUGCUCUCAGUUGGCCCCAGCCCAACCCCUGAUGCUUGCACAGGGAGGGUGGAAGCCCUGGGACAGGUGGACAAGCUCCAUCGUUGGAUGGAGCUCCAUCCCCAAGGUCUUCAAGUCUUGGCCACCUCCAACAGUCCAAGGGUGGCUGAGAUUCCGCCAGGCUCCCUUCCAACACUGCUGGUGCCUGCAAUCUCAGCUGAGUCUGAUCCUUUUUUGAUACCCCAAAGAAGUUCCACAAGAGCUCAUGCUGGUCCCCCAGGUGGCAUGGAGGCACCAGAGGUCCCUUUACACCUUCUGCUAUGCCGUGUUGGCUUUCAAACCCAACCACAGUGAGGUGAGACCAUCCAUGUGGUUCUCAGUACUCAGAAAUGCUCUGGAAAAUCUGAACUCGCCAUCUCUCCUCCAGAUUGCAGCCAUUUAAUUCACCGUGUGAUUUUGCUAUUGAUUUACAACACCCAGGCCCUGGAUCUGGGUAUUUUCAAAUUGAUUCAAACCUGCUUUCUAUUGAUUUAGCUUAAGUCGGUAGACGAUCACUUUAUGUUAGGCAGCCAUAAGGUGCUUUUAAAUCAACCCAUCUGGACAACGCAGCGCUGGCACUGGCAGCUUAAUAGGGAGGCAUUCCCGUAAAGUGCUGGUCGUCUGGAAGGCAGCGUCUACACCAUCGCUGGGGCUCAAAGCAAAUGUAAUCGUGGUUUUUGGUUGUUUAUUUUGGUUUUCAAUUUGAGGCAAAAGCGGGAUUUGGAGACAGAGCUUUGCAGGGAGGAAGGGGUUCUGGCAGCCUUUUCAGUUUAAGGGAGUGAAGCUCAGGUCCAGUUGAAGGAUGUUUUGGGAUGGGCUGGAUGCAGCCACACCACCAUGGUCAUUCCUGGGCAGAGAGCUCUCCCCGCCACAUCAGCCUGCAUUUGGAGGGAUGUCCCCACUGGUAAAACUGUAACAGCCAAAUCCACAGGGCCAGGAGGGAAACUGAGGCACGAGAGCCCUCAUCCACCUGCUUCACGGCCAGCUGCAAUGUUUUGCAAGAUGCCACCAAAAGUCUCCAGGAGGAGAUUCAGAAGGGUUACACCACUGUCCAUGAGCACGCAUAGGAUGCUGUGGUGGCCCAGGUCACCGACUCCCCUCCUGCAACUUCCCCGUGGCUGGAAAAACCUCACGAAAUCGUCUUCAUUGUGCAGGCUUUAUUGCACUAUAAAAAGGUGUGGACCUUCCAGUCCAGCCUGGCGAAGGAGGGAGAAAAAGAUAAAUAACACACCUCCAUAAAUCACGCCGAGAUUAAUGGAGAGAGCUGAAGAUAAAGCAAAUAAGGGCACGUGCAGGAGCAGCUGCGCCGUGGCAGAGCCACUGUGUCCUUCAGGGAAGGGUGCAGGAGGCUGAUGGUGAUGGUGAUGGGAUGGUGCUGGAGAUGGGAUGGUGCUGGCGAUGCGGUGGUGCUGGUGAUGGGAUGGUGCUGGUGAUGGGAUGAUGCCAUUGGUGAUGGGAUGCCUUCAGCGAUAGGAUGGCAAUGGGUGAUCACCGACUUCUCCGUGCCUCGGUUUCCCUUCCCAGCCUCCAUCGGUAUUGGAUGUUCCUGGGGUUCUCCCAUCUUCUCCAAGGCUGCAUCCUCUGCCCCGCUGCACCAGCCCCGUCCUUCCCAUCCUAAAGCUGAGGACAGGAUCCAGGCACCCAGCUCCAUCACCGUGCAUCCCUCAGUCAAUGACCAGAUCUCAAAUACCCUUCGGCUCCUUCAAAGUGCUGGAUCCAGCUCCAGGAGCAAAUCCUCGGUAUCCUGGAUGCUCUGACCACUGAGCUGCACUCCCACAUGCGCUGAAAGAUUUAUCCCUGGGUAGUUGGCUGAGUUUCUAAUGAGAGCCAAGACGGAUGCUCCACUCACCAGUUAAUAGGCUGGGUCUUGGAUUAGUCACACUAACUGGCAUCAAUGCACUGAUUUUCUUUUUAUUGCACAUUAUAACUCAUGCCUGGGGAGGCGAGAUAGGAGUCUCACGGCACCGGGAAGAUACGGCUGCAGCCGCUUGUUCAAAGCUCCGCGCUGAGGACCUGCUGCUUCUGGCUGCUGCAAGUGGGUGGUGGGGUGCCAGGAGGGGUCCGUGCCCCGAUGUGGGGACCCUCGUGGUCUGCGGGAGAUGGGGAGAAGAAGGAGGGGGGAUUAAUAGAGAUGCUGGGUUGGGGUCUGUGUUGCAGCGUCUUCUUUUGUGUGUUCGGUGCCUUCAAUGUCCUCUUUGCCACCCCAGGAGGAAGGAUGGGUGCUGCACUGCUGACAGAGCCCUCAUUCGAUCUCAUGCAGCCUCUCCCGUUGGGUUUUGGUGUUGGGCAAGACUUUAGGUAAUAGGGGGUCCCGACAUCGUCCCCCAUCCCUGAGAACAGCAGGAUCUCGGGGCUGGGACGAGCUCGGUGCCACAACCCCCAUCUCAUUCGAUGCACUGGGGACCUGUGCCCAUUGGGUGCCCAUUGGGUGCCCAUUGCCUCGCUGCAGGGGUGCUGGGUGCAUCUCCAGCACCCAUCCUUCCGCACGGGGCUGUAAAUCUCGGCUCUACAGGGCCGGAGGAGCUGCAGCAGCCGGGCAGGAGCAGGCAGCAGCUCUGCGCUCAUGAUAAGCUGCUAUCUCCCCAUCUAGUGACCACAGCACGCAUAGCAAGGCGCGCGAUGCUACAAAUUAUUUGGGAUGCUCCCAAAUAAUUUAGGAGCUGAAGAAACACUGGACAGAGUGAGAGCUCCUGGAAAAUACCCC